UUUCCGAAUUCACUGUUGAGUUGGCAUAGAGUAGUACUGUAUGGAAUAUGAUAAUUAUUGUACUUCCUAUGACAGCUUACUAAUGAAUUCAAAUU
rnacentral:pre_miRNA from 1 species